GAUGAACGCUGGCGGCGUGCUUAACACAUGCAAGUCGAACGAGAAAUGUAGACGGAAACCUUCGGGCGGAAGCCUUCAUUUCGAGUGGCGGACGGGUGAGUAACGCGUGGGUAACCUGCCUCAUACAGGGGGAUAACAGUUGGAAACGACUGUUAAUACCGCAUAAGACCACAGCAUCGCAUGAUGCGGGGGUAAAAACUCCGGUGGUAUGAGAUGGACCCGCGUUCGAUUAGCCAGUUGGCGGGGUAACGGCCCACCAAAGCGACGAUCGAUAGCCGAUCUGAGAGGAUGACCGGCCACAUUGGGACUGAGACACGGCCCAAACUCCUACGGGAGGCAGCAGUGGGGGAUAUUGCACAAUGGGGGAAACCCUGAUGCAGCGACGCCGCGUGAGUGAAGAAGUACUUCGGUAUGUAAAGCUCUAUCAGCAGGGAAGAAAAUGACGGUACCUGAGUAAGAAGCCCCGGCUAACUACGUG
rnacentral:rRNA from 1 species